GAGGACCGAAAAUGACGAGCCGCUGGUGUUCCGGUUAUCGUGUCAACGGUAGCGCCGGGUAGCUAAGCUCGGACUAGAUAAGCGCUGAAAGCAUCUAAGCGCCAAGCUAUUCCCAAGAUAAGGUUUCCCUGAAGAUUAAAUCUUCCUAAAGAGUCCUGGUAGACCACCAGGUUGAUAGGCCGGAUGUGUAAGUGUGGUAACAUAUUAAGCUAACCGGUACUAAUGACUCGUGAGGUUUUAUUUU
rnacentral:rRNA from 1 species